rnacentral:rRNA from 1 species
UGGGGAAUCUUGCGCAAUGGACGAAAGUCUGACGCAGCGACGCCGCGUGGGGGAUGAAGGCUUUCGGGUUGUAAACCCCUGUUGCCCGGGACGAACUUCCGCUUUCGAGCGGAUUGACGGUACCGGGUGAGGAAGCACCGGCUAACUCUGUGCCAGCAGCCGCGGUAAUACAGAGGGUGCGAGCGUUGUCCGGAAUCACUGGGCGUAAAGGGCGCGUAGGUGGCGCGACAAGUCGGUGGUGAAAGUUCGACGCUCAACGUCGAAUCGGCCACCGAUACUGUCGGGCUCGAGCACUGUAGAGGCUAAUGGAAUUCCGGGUGUAGCGGUGGAAUGCGUAGAGAUCCGGAAGAACACCGGUGGCGAAGGCGGUUAGCUGGGCAGUUGCUGACACUGAGGCGCGACAGCGUGGGGAGCAAACA